GUGUUGGUUGAUUUGAUUUUUUUUUUCAUUUUCAGCAAAGGCGUGUUCCUAUUGGUUGGAAAUGACAAUGUGGGCGGAGCCUGAUUGGACAAGAGGCGCCUGAUUGGACAUAAAUUCCCCACUGGUGUUGGUUUGAUUUUUUUUUAUUGAGUGGGCGCGGCCUUAGAAGAGGCGCGUUCCUAUUGGUUGGAAAUGGAAAGGGGGAGGGGCGUGAGGGACGGGAGCGCGCGCCCGGCGUGUGUGCGCCUCAGAGUGUGCGCGAGGGCGCACGCAUGCGCGCUCCCCGGGUGCUCUUUCGCUCUGGGGCUCCUGUGAGGAGAAGAAGGAGGAGGAGGAGGAAGAGGAGGCCGGUCCGGCGGCCUGAGGGGACGGAGAGGCGGCGGAGGAAGGCGAGGAGGAGCCGGGGAGGCGAAGGGGAGCGGCGCGGAGAGGCCUGAGGGACCCCAACCUCGCCCGGCCUCUGCCCUCAGCCUCGCCGCCUCAGAAAGGGCCCGGCGCAGCUCCCGCCUCCCCGGCCCGUCUGGCGCCCCCUAUUGGCCAGCCGCACUCGCCCAGGCCCCGCCCCUUUGGGUCAGGCUGUCAGUCAGGCCAAAGGUAGGCCCUUGCCUUGACCUUUCCCCUUUUCCUUUCCUCAGGCACCAUCCAGACCCCCUUCUUCUCAUUAUUAUUAUUAUUAUUAUUAUUAUUACCUUAUUAUCUUUUACCUACCUCUCUCUCAGCCUUUCUGCAUCCCUCAAUUAAUAAUAAUAAUAAUAAUAAUAAUAAUAAUAAUAACAUUAUUAUCCCUCAUCUACCAUUUUCUUCACUUUUUCCUCUCUCUCUUGCCAUUUUCACCAUCUUUCUUCUCAUCCCACUCUCCUUUCCUGCUUCUUGCAGCCCUCCCCCCUUAAAAUAUUCUCCAAUAAGUAUUUUCUUCCUCUUGCUUCUCUUCUCUAGAUUCCCUUCCUUUUCUUAUCUCCUUCUCCCACUUAUUUUCUUCUAUAUCUAUUACCGCCUUCUCCCCAUCCCAUUCUCUGUCUCAGGUUUUCCACAGGCUUUUCAAAAUAAUAUAUAAUAUAUUAUAUUAUAUUUUAUUGCUUUCUCCCCAUCCCAUUCUCUGUCUCAAGCUUCUCACAGGCUUUCAAAAAUAAUAUAUAAUAUCUAAAAUCUAAAUAUUGUUUUGAUCCAUUGCUUAUUUUUGCCUUCUUUUCCUUCUCUCUCGAAUUCUCUCCACCUCCUGCAUACUCUUCUUGUUUUAGGUGCUCUCUCAUUUCACUCUUGUAUUGUAAUUUCCUUCCAUUGCUCAUUUCCUCCUCUUGCUUUUCUUCCCUUUCUUAUCUCCUUCUCCCACUUAUUUUCUUCUUCUAUAUUUAUUAUUGCUUUCUCCCCAUCCCAUACUCUCUCUCUCUGUUUCCCCCAGGCUUUUAAAAACAAUAUAUAAUAUCUGAAAUCUCAAUAUUGUUUUGUCCAUUGCUCAUUCGCCUGCUUUUACUUCCUUCUCUCUUGAAUCCUCUCCUCCUUCUCCAUUCUUUUCUUGUGUUAUAAUAAAUAAUAAUAACUUUAUUUUUGUACCCCGCCUCCAUCUCCCCAAAGGGAUUCGGGCGGCUUAUAUAUUUUAGGUACUCUUUCAUUUCACUGCUCUUGUCUUUUAAUUCAAGUUCUUCUCAUCCAUUAUUUUUCUUCAUACGUGUUUUUUAUUUUUUGCAGGAUUUCCCACUCUUUAAAAAAACUUUUUUUGCAUCCUUGCAAUUAGAGAGUUCUGAACUAGUCAGGACACAAACCUAAACGCAUCCUUCGUUGUUCCUUUCGGGCUGUUUCCACAACUUAGACAUUCUUUGCUUCCUAAUGCCAGUGCUGGUCCUCGAGAAGUAACUCUUUUGAGAGUAUUUUCUUACCUCUUUUCAUGCAUUUUGGUGGUUUCCCAUUUCUAAAAUUGUUUCCUUCUUCUGUUUUCGCAUUUCCCAUCUCAUUCUGUUUGUAGUUUGUCUUCCCUUUUGAAUUGUUUUCGUUUUCCCUUAAGUAAAGUCUUUUAUAUUCUGCGGCAUUUGGUUUCUCUUUCCUGUUUUUUUGUAAUUUCUUUUUAAGUCAUACUUGUUUCCCCCAUGUUCCUUUUCCCUUCUGUUUCCAUUCUGUUCUUUACUCCACUGUUGCAUUUUAAAAGAUUAUUUCUGUGAACUGGUUGCUUGUUAUCCACAUUCCUAUUUGUGUACUUCAUUCUUCUGUUCACAUUACUUGACUGUCCUGUUUCUUUUCAGUUCCAUCAUUUCCAGUUAUUUUUCUCAGUCACCCAGUUUGAUCUGCUUUCAUUCUUUGCAUUUAAGUCAUCUCAUUUACUCCUUGUCCUCAGUAACUUGUGUUGCCUGACUUCCCACCUCCCACACACCACUUUUCUGUCAGUCUUAUUCUGUUUUACUUGCUCCUCUUUUCCAGUAUCUUUCUUCCUCCCAUAUUCUUCUUUCCGUCCUUUUUGGACAUUGCCUCUCCCCACUGACUUAACAUUCUUUGCUUUAAUCAGUCACUUCCUAUUCCCUUCCACGGGACAUUGCUUGCAUCCAUCCACGUUUAAUAUUAAAGGUGAAUGGAUGUAUACACAGCACAGAGUGGAGGAGACUCGUAGAAGCCCGUAAGGGACCUUCUUACACAUUUUUGAAAAGAUAAAUGAAAAGGAUGUGGGAAUGGAAGGGGUGGAGUUGUCAGUAUUCCUAACAUUUUCUAGGGGGGUGCAUUCACAUCCUUUUUCUAGGGGGGACGGGGACUGACUCAAAUUCAAGACUGGCACAGAAAAAGCAGAAAGAUGGCCUUCUAGUACCAACUACACCAGCCAUCUUGGGGGGAAAGGGGAAUUUCUUGCAUGCUCACACUCACACACGCAGCAGCCUCCAUUUUUAGUGACUUAAUGAAGACGUAAACGACCUGUAGAACUCCAUGUUUGCGAAGGUGGGCAACUUGCUUGUGAAAGUGUAGCAGACCUUCAUUUUUGUGGCCAAAUGACAGCUUGACCCAGUUGUUCUCCA
rnacentral:lncRNA from 1 species